rnacentral:rRNA from 1 species
UACAGAGGGGGCAAGCGUUGUUCGGAAUUACUGGGCGUAAAGCGCGCGUAGGCGGCUUUGUAAGUUAGAGGUGAAAGCCCGGGGCUCAACCCCGGAACUGCCUUUAAGACUGCAUCGCUUGAAUCCAGGAGAGGUGAGUGGAAUUCCGAGUGUAGAGGUGAAAUUCGUAGAUAUUCGGAAGAACACCAGUGGCGAAGGCGGCUCACUGGCCUGGUAUUGACGCUGAGGUGCGAAAGCGUGGGGAGCAAACAGG